rnacentral:rRNA from 1 species
AUUGAACGCUGGCGGCAGGCCUAACACAUGCCGUCGAGCGGAUGAAGGGAGCUUGCUCCUGGAUUCAGCGGCGGACGGGUGAGUAAUGCCUAGGAAUCUGCCUGGUAGUGGGGGAUAACGUCCGGAAACGGGCGCUAAUACCGCAUACGUCCUGAGGGAGAAAGUGGGGGAUCUUCGGACCUCACGCUAUCAGAUGAGCCUAGGUCGGAUUAGCUAGUUGGUGGGGUAAAGGCCUACCAAGGCGACGAUCCGUAACUGGUCUGAGAGGAUGAUCAGUCACACUGGAACUGGGACACGGUCCAGGCUCCUACGGGAGGCAGCAGUGGGGAAUAUUGGACAAUGGGCGAAAGCCUGAUCCAGCCAUGCCGCGUGUGUGAAGAAGGUCUUCGGAUUGUAAAGCACUUUAAGUUGGGAGGAAGGGCAGUAAGUUAAUACCUUGCUGUUUUGACGUUACCAACAGAAUAAGCACCGGCUAACUUCGUG